GCAGGUCAGCAUACUGCCGUGAAUACGUUCCCGGGCCUUGUACACACCGCCCGUCACACCAUGAGAGUUGGAGAUACCCGAAGCCUAUGAGCUAACUUUUAGAGGCAGUAGUCGAAGGUAGAAUCAAUGAUUGGGGUGAAGUCGUAACAAGGUACC
rnacentral:rRNA from 1 species